rnacentral:rRNA from 1 species
GAGGGAAAGGUGAAAAGAACCCCGGGAGGGGAGUGAAAGAGAACCUGAAACCCUAUGUUUACAAGCAGACAAAGCACGUUAAAGUGCGAUGUCGUACUUUUUGUAGAACGGUCCAGCGAGUUAUUGUAUAUGGCAAGGUUAAGUACUAUGUAAGGUACGCAGCCGAAGCGAAAGCGAGUGUUAAUAGCGCGUUUAAGUCAUAUAUAAUAGACCCGAAACCGGGUGACCUAUCCAUGGUCAGGAUGAAGCUAGAGUAAAAUCUAGUGGAGGUCCGAACUGAUUGUCGUUAAAAAGGCACCGGAUGAACUGUGGAUAGCGGAGAAAUUCCAAUCGAACUCGGAGAUAGCUGGUUCUCCUCGAAAUAGCUUUAGGGCUAGCCUUGAGAUAAAAAAUAGAUGGGGGUAGAGCACUGAAGGAGCUAGGGGCCUAACCAGGUUACUGAACUCUAUCAAACUACGAAUACCAUACUAUUGUUUCUCAGGAGUCAGACUGCGGGAGCUAAGUUCCGUGGUCAAAAGGGAAAGAGCCCAGAUCGUCAAUUAAGGUCCCAAAGAUAUAGCUAAGUGGAAAACGAUGUGAUUUUGCAUAAACAACCAGGAUGUUGGCUCAGAAGCAGCCAUUCAUUCAAAGAGUGCGUAAUAGCUCACUGGUCGAGUGAAGUUGCGCGGAAAAUUACCGGGGCUAAGCUAUACACCGAAAUUGCGGGUUCAUACGUAAGUAUGAGCGGUAGAGGAGCAUUCUGUUGUAGGUUGAAGUAUGACCGAGAGGACAUGUGGACGAAGCAGAAGAGAGAAUGCUGGAAUAAGUAGCGAGAGCAAGGUGAGAAUCCUUGCCGUCGAAAGUCUAAGGUUUCCUGGGGAAGGUUCGUCCGCCCAGGGUAAGUCGGGACCUAAGGAGAGGCCGAAAGGCGUAUCUGAUGGACAGCAGGUUGAAAUUCCUGCACUACGGAUAUACUUAAAAGAUGCAAGGGACGCAGGAGUGGAAGAUAAGCGAGGAAGAGGAAAGACUCGUAUCGAAAGAUAUAGUGAAAAUAUAAGUAACGAAUUAUCAAGAAGCACACUGACGAGAAAAGCUUGUAGAUAUUGUAUAAACGUACCCGUACCGCAAACCGACACAGGUAGAUGAGGAGAGGAUCCUAAGACGAACGGGAGAAGCAUUGUUAAGGAACUCGGCAAAUUGACCCCGUAACUUCGGAAUAAGGGGUGCCUAUGUAAAAGUAGGCCGCAGAGAAUAGGCCCAAGCAACUGUUUAACAAAAACACAGGUUUCUGCUAAAUCGAAAGAUGAAGUAUAGGAGCUGACGCCUGCCCAGUGCUGGAAGGUUAAGGGGAAAGGUUAGAUGUAAAUCGAAGCUUUGAACCAAAGCCCCAGUGAACGGCGGCCGUAACUAUAACGGUCCUAAGGUAGCGAAAUUCCUUGUCAGGUAAGUUCUGACCCGCACGAAAGGCGUAAUGAUUUGGGCACUGUCUCGACAAUGUACCCGGCGAAAUUGUAGUACUAGUGAAGAUGCUAGUUACCUGCGACAAGACAGAAAGACCCCAUGGAGCUUUACUGCAGCUUGAUACUGGGUUUCGAUAAUUUAUGUACAGGAUAGGUGGGAGACUAUGAGAUUAGGGCGUCAGCCUUAAUGGAGUCACCGUUGGGAUACCACCCUUAAGUUAUUGGAAUUCUAACUAUUGGUCAUUACCUGGCCAGAGGACAAUGUCAGGCGGGCAGUUUGACUGGGGCGGUCGCCUCCUAAAGAGUAACGGAGGCGCCCAAAGGUUUCCUCAGCGCGGACAGAAAUCGCGCGAAAGAGUGCAAAGGCAGAAGGAAGCUUAACUGAGAGACAGACAUGUCGACCAGAUACGAAAGUAGGGCUUAGUGAUCCGGUGGUUGUAAAUGGAAAUGCCAUCGCUCAACGGACAAAAGUUACCCUGGGGAUAACAGGCUUAUCUCCCCCAAGAGUUCACAUCGACGGGGAGGUUUGGCACCUCGAUGUCGGCUC